rnacentral:rRNA from 1 species
AUUGAACGCUGGCGGCAUGCUUUACACAUGCAAGUCGAACGGUAACAGGCCGCAAGGUGCUGACGAGUGGCGAACGGGUGAGUAAUGCAUCGGAACGUGCCCAGUCGUGGGGGAUAACUACUCGUAAGAGUAGCUAAUACCGCAUACGAUCUAUGGAUGAAAGCGGGGGACCGUAAGGCCUCGCGCGAUUGGAGCGGCCGAUGUCAGAUUAGGUAGUUGGUGGGGUAAAGGCUCACCAAGCCAACGAUCUGUAGCGGGUCGGAGAGGACGACCGGCCACACUGGGACUGAGACACGGCCCAGACUCCUACGGGAGGCAGCAGUGGGGAAUGUUGGACAAUGGGCGCAAGCCUGAUCCAGCAAUGCCGCGUGCAGGAAGAAGGCCUUCGGGUUGUAAACUGCUUUUGUACGGAACGAAACGGCUCUGGUUAAUACCCGGGGCUAAUGACGGUACCGUAAGAAUAAGCACCGGCUAACUACGUG